rnacentral:rRNA from 1 species
AUUGAACGCUGGCGGCAGGCCUAACACAUGCAAGUAGAACGCAGUUGCGAACGGGUGAGUAACGCGUAGGUAACUGCCUCAUAGCGGGGGAUAACUAUUGGAAAAGAUAGCUAAUACCGCAUACUGUGAGAAGAACCUGCGUUGUAUUAGCUAGUUGGUGAGGUAAAGGCUAACCAAGGCGACGAGACUUAGCCGACAUGAGAGGGUGAUCGGCCACAGUGGGACUGAGACACGGCCCAGGCUCCUAAGGGAGGCAGCAGGAGGAAAUCGUCGGAAAUGGACGGAAGUCUUACCGAGCAACUCCGCGUGAGUGAAGAAGGUUUUAGGAUCGGAAAGCUCUGUUGUUAGAGAAGCGGUAACUACCCAGAAAGGGACGGCUAACUACGUACCAGCAGCCGCGGUAAUAC